UCUGUGGUGCCCUCGCAGCGCCUGAGGCAGCGGGGUCGCUCAGGUGUGGGAGGCCGGGCGGAGGAGUGGUUUCCCCUUCCCAGCGACCCGCUGAGGCGGCAGCGGCGUGGGCGGAGUGUCGGAGGAGCUGGGUGGAGUAGGAGCCAGGAGAGGUGGAUGAAGUAGCCAGAGAAAUGGCACACCACACAUGCCUUCUUAUCCAAUGUGGAUCCUCCAGCCACAGAAGGUGCACUUUUCCAGAGAUUAGAAGUCACUGAGUCCUGUCUGUCUCCUGUGGACAGUCCUAGGUAAAUGCAG